rnacentral:lncRNA from 1 species
GGAUUCAACCAGAAGUGGGGGAUGGAGCAACCCGGAGUGCUCUUCUUGAUCUUGCGUAUGGUCGAAAUGCACAUUCUCUGGUCCAGCACCAGAGUCCCUGCUGAUUUAGCCAACAGACAUCUCACUCUUUUGGAUGCUCAUGUGACUCAACCCAGCCUCCCAUGGUGACCAUCCAUGGGUAAGAAUAAAGAAUAUUUCAUCAGAACACAGACGAGCCGGACAUUUUGGCACGGCCAUGAAGAGAAUCCUGAAAUCGGGCACUGUGGGACAGCUUGUCAGAGUCUUUUUCCUUAUAGAGUCCUUCCAAUCGGGCAGUUUGUUCCAUAAUUCGAUACUGCAGCCUAUAUUUGCUCUCAAGGAAAAGCGACUGUGGUAUUUGCAUGUAUAAUGUAUAUAAUGUAUGUAUAAUGUCCCCACUGAGUAAGUGCCUUCCUUAAAGUAAAGAAUGAGGAGCAGUCAGCAAGACCUUUUAUAUAUGAAGCAGGGACUUAGAACUUGAAGACUUCUGCCUAGUUUACACAAACCAUUGAUAGCCAUGGAAUGUGACCCUGAGACUUUUGGAUGCUGAUGGUCACAUUACGGAUGGCCUUGAGUCUGUCUGAAAAAUAAUCAGUCAAAUCCUGUAUCAAAGAAACACUGAUUACCAUCCUGGAGAGACAAUGUCACCUGCUAUGGAGGCUGGAAAGGAG